rnacentral:rRNA from 1 species
ACCCGCUGAACUUAAGCAUAUCAAUAAGCGGAGGAAAAGAAACCAACAGGGAUUGCCCCAGUAACGGCGAGUGAAGCGGCAACAGCUCAAAUUUGAAAUCUGGUCCCCAGGGCCCGAGUUGUAAUUUGCAGAGGAUGCUUUUGGUGAGGUGCCUUCCGAGUUCCCUGGAACGGGACGCCAUAGAGGGUGAGAGCCCCGUCUGGUUGGAUACCGAGCCUCUGUAAAGCUCCUUCGACGAGUCGAGUAGUUUGGGAAUGCUGCUCUAAAUGGGAGGUAUAUGUCUUCUAAAGCUAAAUAUUGGCCAGAGGCCGAUAGCGCACAAGUAGAGUGAUCGAAAGAUGAAAAGCACUUUGAAAAGAGGGUUAAAUAGUACGUGAAAUUGUUGAAAGGGAAGCACUUAUGACCAGACUUGGCCCCGGUGAAUCAUCCAGCGGUUCCCGCUGGUGCACUUUGCCGGGGUUCAGGCCAGCAUCAGUUCGCUCCGGGGAUAAAGGCUUUGGGAAUGUGGCUCCCUCGGGAGUGUUAUAGCCCAUUGCGUAAUACCCUGUGGCGGGCUGAGGUUCGCGCUUUAUGCAAGGAUGCUGGCAUAAUGGUCAUCAGUGACCCGUCUUGAAACACGG